AUUGAACGCUGGCGGCAGGCCUAACACAUGCAAGUCGAGCGGAUGAAGGGAGCUUGCUCCUGGAUUCAGCGGCGGACGGGUGAGUAAUGCCUAGGAAUCUGCCUGGUAGUGGGGGAUAACGUCCGGAAACGGGCGCUAAUACCGCAUACGUCCUGAGGGAGAAAGUGGGGGAUCUUCGGACCUCACGCUAUCAGAUGAGCCUAGGUCGGAUUAGCUAGUUGGUGGGGUAAAGGCCUACCAAGGCGACGAUCCGUAACUGGUCUGAGAGGAUGAUCAGUCACACUGGAACUGAGACACGGUCCAGACACCUACGGGAGGCAGCAGUGGGGAAUAUUGGACAAUGGGCGAAAGCCUGAUCCAGCCAUGCCGCGUGUGUGAAGAAGGUCUUCGGAUUGUAAAGCACUUUAAGUUGGGAGGAAGGGCAGUAAGUUAAUACCUUGCUGUUUUGACGUUACCAACAGAAUAAGCACCGGCUAACUUCGU
rnacentral:rRNA from 1 species